rnacentral:tRNA from 1 species
UCGCGGAGGUAGAAGAUUGCGUUCGCGUAAUCCUGCUGUGCGACCAGCGCAUUUGCGAUUGCGUAGUUCGUGUCCGCGUUUCGCGGU